GGGGGCUGGGGCUGGAGCGAGGAGCCCAUUGGGCACGACCGCACCAACCCUAGCUCCCGAUCCAAAGCCACGCACUCCUCCCUCCCCCUCUCACAGCCGCCACACCCCAUUCCUCUCUUCCUCCUCCCUCCUCCUUCCCAGAUCCCUGCCACCGCCACACCGAGUCGGCCGAUGGUGAGGUGAAGGAGGAGGGUAGGCGACCCGUCGCGAUGGGAUGAGGCUACAGGGAAGAGGGUCAUGUCGCGUGGUGGCCCAGAUGCGGCCGCCCCAUGGCCGGCCUCGACGAGCACGGCCUCGAUCCGGCCUCAGCCGGAGGACCUCGAGCCGAGGAGUGCGGCCUCGAUCGGGACUCGGCAUCUGGGGCGACGACGGAGGAGGAGGGGAAAGCAGGGGAGCAGCAGCCAGCAUCUGGGGCGGCGGCGGCUGGACUCUUCUCCUGUCUCGCCUCGGCCGCCUCCUCUCCUCCCCGCGUCGUCGGCCCCUCCCUCCUCCUCCCUCCUUCGUCCUCACAGCCGACCAUCUCCGUCACUUGGGCCCCAUGGCAACGACAGGGUCUUCCGGUCGGAAUUUAGACGAGGAAAAGGUGAAAUCGAGCGUCUCGAUGGUGCCAUGACUGAUACACGGCGACGGCUAGCGUCUAUGAGCGCCACACAUGGUGCAGCAGGCUCGGCGGGCAGUGGGCGCGGCAGGCUCGGCAGGCAGCGGACGCAGCGGUCAAGGCCAGGGGCGCGGAUUGGGGGAGAUGCGCACACGAGGAGCGACGGCGACCGCUUCUGCUGCCAACACCGAAGCCAUACUGCCAGUACAUUCCAAGUGGAAUGGAGUACCCAGUUUUGUCCAGAAAGUUGUGGCCUUCCGGUGGUUCUUUUGCAAUGAGGGUUUCAAUGCUAACCAUAUUGCAUUUCCAUUUUCAGGGUGUCCUUUUACUGGGUACCCACCCUCCAGUGCAUAUAUUUGCAUGAUGAUGUAAUGUCAGACCAACUUUCUGGUUUAAGUCCAUUGUUUGGCGCCAACGUGCAUUUGGUGUUGAUUGCUGGCUGGCCGACUGCGGUGUGCUACCGGCGAUGAGAUCCAGGAGGAGGUGGCGGCGAACAGGGAGUCGACGUAGGGAUGAACUUCCGAUUAAGAUGCAGAGCUGCUAUUUUUAUCAUGUUGUUCUUAUCCUGCUCACUGUGAUAUUUGUGGAAAAUAUUUGCACUGUGGUUUGGUUAAGAUAUAGAGCUACUAUUUUUGUUCUGCAUUACCUCGUGGGUCUUAUUAUAUGGAUUAAGUACAAGGCAUCUGUGGUUCAAAAGUUUUUAGUAACUUUUGUUUAUCUUUACUGUCUGGUGUCGAAUUGACCGAUUAGUCGGUUGAGUUGAUUGUAAAUGAUUGCCCAAUGUGGUUAUCUGAAGAUUGUAGUUUACCAUAUAUGCUUACUACAAAAUGCUUAUUUCGCUUCACAUGUAAGGCUGUAACAGGAUGCAUUUCUCUCACCAGGACCUUUUUGCUUGCAUUCUCGUGUCUUUUGGCAAGGAGAAAAUUAUCAUUUGGAGGGGAAAAGACAGAUGAAAACAUGCAAGAUAGUAUAUGCAAUUGACAUACCCUUCAGUUCUUGAAUCAGAGUUCAGUGGUGAAGAACACUACAAUUUUUUGGUUGAUAGAUUGGUCUGAAUAUAUUGUAAGGGAUUUUGCAUGAAGUGGUUAUUCAAAGAAUGGACCCGAUUUUAUGAUUUUACUAAAUGGAUAUGGUAUAACCUCCAUGAUAUUUGAGUGGUCCAGAAUCAAGACGCCCCGAGAAUUUUACCCUUCGAUGAACAAUGCAAGAUUUUGCCUAUUCUCUGAGAUGGAUGAUGAUGAGCGGUGCAACCGAAAAUUCAGAGCUGGGCUUUACACACUUCAGUGAUUAAGUGAAGUUCCAGUUUUUCUUCUGUACCCUAUUACUGCUCUCUUGUACAGAGAGCAGUGAGUUUAUAUUAGCUAAAUGUUAGAUUGGAAUGCAGGAGUAGCAUGACAACACCAAGGUAGAGACCUGAAGAGAAGCAAGGGGAUGGACCAAGGAAACUAGAACUAUGUUGUCGUGAUGUGGGUCGUGUCGUCUUCGUCCAUCUCCAUGGAGGCAUAUAUACAUAGGUUAGGUAUAGGAAAGGAGACCGUCUCCAUGGAACUCUGACUGAUGUGUAAUGUCCUCAUAGGACUGGACCGUUUACAGAGGGAGUACUUGAAAAUAGAUUCUUUAUAUAUUGUUUGGUUCCAUCAGCCACAUAACCUAAAUUAGCAAUUAGGUAUCUAAACAGUGUAGUGUAACCAUUGUGCUUGCUGCAGUUUUACUUUAGUGUUGAAAUGUUUUUGUUGGCUUGUUCUGUACUACGAAAUAUUUUUGUUUUCCCAGCCAUUGUUUUCUAAAUCCUAUCAACAUAUUACC